AAGAGCCCUGCUUGUUGUUCCUCGCGUGUGACAACAUGGAGGAAUCUGAUUCCUCCAAAUCCUGCCUUCGCCCUCUGCCGUCUCAGUGCUCAACCUCUUCACCUGUUAGGUAGCCACGGCUGUAGGAUUUUCCUCUGCAGUUUGUCGUCAGCUGGAUCAGAUCAUUCACGUAAAGCAAUUUUCCCAGGACCUGGAGGAGUCGGUCCUCAGUAGAGGCAUUUCAUCAGAAACCAUGCCGACCCUGUCACACUCCCUCGACGCCCUUUUAUCUUGAGCCACCAGGACACUAAGUGGAUUCCAUGCAGACAUUACCAGCCACCUUCCAGAGCUCAUGACAAGCUAUGGAGUUCUAGAGAACAGGAGGGGCCCUGCUCCAGGAGCAAAACAACUGCGAACGAAGAAGCCUCAGAAAGCAGCACCUAAAAAAGAAAAGUAGCAAAAUAGGAGCCGGAAAACAUCGCUGAUGUUCUAUCCUU